rnacentral:lncRNA from 1 species
GGUGGAGGAGACGAGCUCGACCACGCCUGCCCAGGCGGCUCUCGCGAUCGACGUCCCUUCGGAUGCCGAACCAACGGCCCCCCGGGCCUCUUCAAGGAGUCCACCGACUAGGGCUCCCAUUUUGGGGGCCCGUUCCAUGGAGGUGCCCGGAGUCGAGAGGGGGAUGAGGAAGAAGUCGGCAGCCCGCAGGGGGAGUAGUUGUCGAGCCAUCGUUGAAGAGCCCCUUGGUUCCGAAGAGGAGCCAGAGAAUCCCUUCAAUGACAGGGACUUGAUCAAGUGGU